UGGUGGUUAGGCUGGAGUAGCCUGGCAUCUGGAAUCAUGAUGUUUUAUCAUGAGAAACUGAGAGGAUACUGUUUCUCUUUUCUAAAAAGAGAAAGAAACCCUUUGCUAGGGCUCAUUAAAAAUGGUUUUAAAAUUGGAGCCAAUAAAACACGAUUGUCAAUUCCUACAGCCUUUUUAUCUCAGCAGCAUUUUUAAAAGGCAUCAUUUCUCUCUCCCCUGAAAUCCUACUUGCAACACACACAGCCACAUUUCUAACUAGCAACAACAGAAGCAGCAACAACUCUCCAACUUCUUUGUCACUGGUGAGCAGGCACACAGACCAACAGCGCGGGGCGGCACCGAGGACUCAGGAGGAGGAAGUGGGGCUGCGAGGACGCGUUUGGAGAGGGAGCCGGGAGGCCUGGAGGCCGGGAGGGAUUCGUGUGCACGGUUUCCCCUCCCGGGCACCAGGCGCAGUCGCUUUAACUCC
rnacentral:lncRNA from 1 species